UGGGGAAUAUUAGGCAAUGGGCGAAAGCCUGACCUAGCGACGCCGCGUGAGGGAAGACGGUCUUCGGAUUGUAAACCUCUGUCUUUGGGGACGAAGAAGAUGACGGUACCCAAAGAGGAAGCCACGGCUAACUACGUGCCAGCAGCCGCGGUAAUACGUAGGUGGCGAGCGUUGUCCGGAAUUACUGGGUGUAAAGGGAGCGUAGGCGGGAACGCAAGUUGAAUGUGAAAACUAUGGGCUCAACCGAUAGUUGCGUUCAAAACUGCGAAUCUUGAGUGAAGUAGAGGCAGGCGGAAUUCCUAGUGUAGCGGUAAAAUGCGUAGAUAUUAGGAGGAACACCAGUGGCGAAGGCGGCCUGCUGGGCUUUAACUGACGCUGAGGCUCGAAAGUGUGGGGAGCA
rnacentral:rRNA from 1 species